GACGAACGCUGGCGGCGUGCUUAACACAUGCAAGUCGAACGAAGUGGCGAACGGGUGAGUAACGCGUAAUCAACCUGCCCUUCAGAGGGGGACAACAGUUGGAAACGACUGCUAAUACCGCAUACUGACUGCUGGGAUUGCGGCGGAUUAGCUAGUUGGAGGGGUAACGGCCCACCAAGGCGAUGAUCAGUAACCUGGCUGAGAGGAUGAACGGCCACAUUUGGACUGGGACACGGCCCAGACUCCUACGGGAGGCAUGCGUGGGGAAUCUUUCGCAAUGGACGAAAGUCUGACGGAGCAACGCCGCGUGAGUGAUGACGGCCUUCGGGUUGUAAAGCUCUGUUAAUCGGGACGCGGGACCGGAAGAGAAAGCCACGGCUAACUACGUGCCAGCAGCCGCGGUAAUUC
rnacentral:rRNA from 1 species